GAUGACGGCCUUCGGGUUGUAAACCUCUUUCACCAUCGACGAAGGUCCGGGUUCUCUCGGAUUGACGGUAGGUGGAGAAGAAGCACCGGCCAACUACGUGCCAGCAGCUGCGGUAAUACGUAGGGUGCGAGCGUUGUCCGGAAUUACUGGGCGUAAAGAGCUCGUAGGUGGUUUGUCGCGUUGUUCGUGAAAUCUCACGGCUUAACUGUGAGCGUGCGGGCGAUACGGGCAGACUAGA
rnacentral:rRNA from 1 species